CAAUAGCGUAUAUUAAAGUUGUUGCGGUUAAAAAGCUCGUAGUUGGAUUUCUGCUGAGAACGACCGGUCCGCCCUUUGGGUGUGUAUCUGGCUCUUUCUUGGCAUCUUCUUGGUGAACGUUGCUGCACUUGACUGUGUGGAGCGCUACCCAGGACUUUUACUUUGAGGAAAUUAGAGUGUUUCAAGCAGGCAUACGCCUUGAAUACAUUAGCAUGGAAUAAUAAGAUAGGACCUCGGUUCUAUUUUGUUGGUUUCUAGAGCUGAGGUAAUGAUUAAUAGGGAUAGUUGGGGGCAUUCGUAUUUAACUGUCAGAAGUGAAAUUCUUGGAUUUGUUAAAGACGGACUACUGCGAAAGCAUUUGCCAAGGAUGUUUUCAUUG
rnacentral:rRNA from 1 species